UUUCUUUGGGUCAUAAUAGUAGUGUUCUGUGUCAUGUAAGGGUACUGUAGGUAUAUAAAAUAUAAACAACUGCUUUCCGGUUUUUAAUAGCGGAUUAAUUGGGAUCAUUACUCCACACAUUAUUAAUCUGAUCGCGCCAUUCAAUUCGUCUCUCUCUCCCCAAAAUCUCAACUCAAAAACGCCCAAACCCUAGAAUCUGCUCUGAAAAACACACAAAUAUUCUUGCCAUCCGAAAAGCCCAAACCAUACAAAGCUCUACAAAUUAAUCAUCCCCUCCACUAUUUCAUCUUCGCCUGCACCAAAAAACGCCUCUGCGAGAAAAUCCGUUUCCGCUACCAAAAACCUAGUAAGAAUCCAAAACUCAACGAAGAAGGGGAAGAAAACUCUAAUUCAACCAUGGUCAACACAAGAGCUGGAUCCGCGUCUCAUGACGGAAAAGUUUAUCAAAGAACGACGUCGAAGAAAAAGCUACCAAUUAUCCCAAAAGCUCCGACAGGAAAUACGAUACCAAUUUCUGUCGAAAAUUCAACAGAACCCUCAACUGAAGCCAUUCCUGAUAUCCAUGACAUAAAUCAAGAUACGGGAACUCAUACAAAAAUCAUUCAAGCGUCUAAAGGGAAAGAGACGGAUAAACAAGUAUCCAAUUCUGGAAAAGGGUGAUCUCGCAAGAAGAAUCGGUUUGAAACAAGGAAAAAGAACUAACAUAAAUGGAGUACAGACAGGCCGGAGUAAACAAGUCUGUUUCGGAGAUUAGUAGCUUCACAGCUAUAGGAAGGAUCCAAAUCUCGGACACUGAAAAAACUGUUAUAAGUGUUAGUUCUGGAGCAGCUCUUUUGUGUGCAUCAAAGAGUGAGUACUAGGUCAACAACCCAAUAAUUGGUACAUCAUUUAACAGUAGUAGCAAUGCAUCACAUCUGACGGGUUUAGAAAAGGAAGGAUGUAUCAAUGUGGAAGAUAUUGUAAAAUCAGCCAUGGCCGACUACAUGGAAGGCGGUGGAGAUGAUGCUGCUGAUGAAUUUUAUUUGGAAGCUUCGGGAACGAAAUCAAUACCAAUUUUAGAUAAUAAGCUUAUAAGCAAGGAUGAAACUAAUGAUAAUGAACUCGAUGUGGAAGCCAUUGUACAGUCUGCAGUGGAAGCGUACAUGGAAUGUGAUGAUGCUGAUGAGGAUUUUGUCACACCUUUCGCUAAAAAGUCAGAACCAAAACUGGGCAAAGAAUUGGUCGUCUAUACAAACGAACAACUACAUGACAACCAGCAAAAAUUGAAGAUGAACAUUCGCCCUAAGGCAGACUUGAGAUGUUCUAAUGCAUUGCGUUCACCAUUUCUUGAGAGAGCAGUUACAGUGUCAUGCAAGCUUACUCCAGAUGAACGAGUUAUGUAUUACUGGUUGCUGACUAUGGAUCUCGCCAAAUGAUUAUGUCGUAACUUAGAUUAGUGGAUCAUUUUGUUCAUUUCAUCAAAGAUAGUAUUUCUCUUGUUUUUGAAUCAUGUUUUAUUCAGCAUGUGGAUGUCAUUGGUACAACACAUUGUUUCAUCUAUAAGCUGAUAAAAAAUUCCCUUAAAA